AUUGAACGCUGGCGGCAGGCCUAACACACGCAAGUCGAGCGGGGUUUUCGGACCUAGCGGCGGACGGGUGAGUAAUGCGUAGGAAGCUGCCCGAUAGAGGGGGAUACCAGUUGGAAACGACUGUUAAUACCGCAUAAUGUCUACGGAGCAAAGUGUGGGACCUUCGGGCCACAUGCUAUCGGAUGCGCCUACGUGGGAUUAGCUAGUUGGUGAGGUAAUGGCGCACCAAGGCGACGAUCUCUAGCUGGUUUGAGAGGAUGCUCAGCCACACUGGAACUGAGACACGGUCCAGACUCAUACGGGAGGCAGCAGUGGGGAAUAUUGGACAAUGGGCGCAAGCCUGAUCCAGCCAUGCCGCGUGUGUGAAGAAGGCCUUCGGGUUGUAAAGCACUUUCAGCGAGGAGGAAGGGGUGUGUGUUAAUAGUACACACCUUUGACGUUACUCGCAGAAGAAGCACCGGCUAACUCCGUGCCAGCCGCCGCCGUAACAC
rnacentral:rRNA from 1 species